UUGGGCAGAAAGCAGUGUGUUGUUUAGACUCUGAAUGGCCAGAUAGCUAGCAACAAUGACAAGAAGCUGCCAUGUGGUGAAUCGUCCCUGUGUUGGUGAUGAACAUCUGUUGCUGGGUAAGCCAGACUGCCAAGAUCCCCUUCUUCUCGCCUAGCUCACUCCCAAUGUCAUGAACAUUGCCAAGGAUGCACACGAAGGAGGGGCAGAUGGAGUCACUGCCACCAACACAGUGUCUGGAAUGAUGGGCCUGACAGCACUCCCUGGCCUGGCAUCGGCAAGGGCAAGCGCACCACCUAUGGAGGAA